CCUACGGGAGGCAGCAGUGAGGAAUAUUGGUCAAUGGACGCAAGUCUGAACCAGCCAUGCCGCGUGCAGGAAGAAGGCUCUAUGAGUUGUAAACUGCUUUUGUACGAGGGUAAACGCAGAUACGCGUAUCUGUCUGAAAGUAUCGUACGAAUAAGGAUCGGCUAACUCCGUGCCAGCAGCCGCGGUAAUACGGAGGAUUCAAGCGUUAUCCGGAUUUAUUGGGUUUAAAGGGUGCGUAGGCGGUCGGUUAAGUUAGAGGUGAAAUCCCGAGGCUCAACUGCGGAAUUGCAUCUGAUACUGUUCGUCUAGAGAGUAGUAGCGGUAGGCGGAAUGUAGGGUGUAGCGGUGAAAUGCUUAGAGAUCAUACAGAACACCGAUUGCGAAGGCAGCUUACCAAUCUACUACUGACGUUGAGGCACGAAAGCAUGGGGAGCAAACAGGAUUAGAUACCCCAGUAGUC
rnacentral:rRNA from 1 species